AUGGCCUCGCGGCCGCCGCAUCCCCGCCGGAUUCGGCCCAUCGCCGCGGCCUCCCUGGUGCUGUUCCUCCUCUUCCUCUACACCCGCCCGGAUGGGAACCGUCCGCGGCUCCCGGGCUCCGAUUCGCGCCCGCUCCGCCGCGGGCUCCUCUCCGGCGCCGAUCCCGCCAGCCCCGCCGCGUCCAGAGGCGGGAACCUCUCGGAGGUCACCGGCCUGAACGGCGAGCAGCUGGAGGACCCCUCCACCGCGUGCGCCGGCAUCGCGCGCCACGAGGGUUUCGGGUCCCAGUGCGAGUUCCUCCGGGCGCACCCGCAGUGCAGCUCCGGCGGGUUCGUCGACUACCUGGAUUUCUUUUACUGUCGGUGCGAGAGGUUCAGGCUGCUUGGCUAUGCCGUCCUUGCCGUGUGCCUGGCGGCGCUGUUCUACAUGCUCGGUAACACGGCCGCGGACUACUUCUGCUGCAGCCUCGAGAAGAUGUCCGCCCUGCUGCGGCUCCCGCCGACCGUGGCUGGUGUUACCUUGCUCCCCUUUGGUAAUGGUGCUCCUGAUGUGUUUGCCAGUAUUGCAGCGUUUAUGGGGUCUGGCGCCGGGGAUGUGGGGCUGAACAGCGUGCUGGGCGGAGCGGUGUUUGUUACCUGCGUUGUUGUUGGGGCAGUGUCAUUGUCCGUCGCGGAGAAGAAUGUGCAGAUUGAUUGGAGGUGCUUUGUGAGGGAUGUUGGAUUCUUCCUGAUCACCUUGGUGGCACUGUCUAUUAUGUUGAUUGUCGGGAAGGUGACCGUUUGGGGAGCUAUGCUGUUUGUAUCGAUUUAUGUGGUUUAUGCAUUUGUGGUGGCCGCAAAUGAGUUAUUAAGGAAGCACGCACGGAUGCUGAAGUUUGAUGUAGUCACACCAUUGCUUCCUGUGAGGGGAAGUAUCUUCUCACACGGGCUAGAGGAGGAUGAUUCUGUGUACAGUUCACUUCUUGAGGAGGAUACAAGUGAUGAGGCGGCCCAGGUAAACACAUCAUUGCCGCAGUGGAUGUGGGCUUCUCAUGUGGCUAUCUACUCAAAUCAGGGGAGAGAUGGUUCGCCUGACAGGCCUUUGUGGGGUUGGAAUGAAGAAGGCAGAGUGGAUACGUCCACGCUUAACUACUCCAAAAUGUUUCUGUUUUUGGAGCUACCCUUGACAAUACCAAGAAAGUUGACGAUUCCAAUAGUUGAGGAAGACCGCUGGUCACAAGAAUAUGCUGUUGCCAGUGCUGGCUUGGCACCUCUACUCUUAUCAUUUCUGUGGAACAGCCAGGAUGGAGUAUCCACGGGUGCCAGGGUAGCAGCAUAUGUGAUAGCUGGUAUUUUUGGGAUUGCACUUGCAGGUCUUGCUUUUACAUUCACCAGUCCUGACCGCCCUCCAAGGAGAUACUUACUCCCAUGGGUGUUUGGAGGGUUUGUGAUGAGCAUCGUUUGGUUCUACAUCAUUGCCAAUGAGCUGGUUGCACUGUUGGUUGCAUUUGGGGUGAUACUUGGGAUUAAUCCUUCAAUCCUUGGCUUAACGGUGCUAGCAUGGGGCAAUUCGAUGGGUGACUUGAUGUCAAAUGUGGCCUUGGCAAUGAAUGGAGGAGACGGUGUACAGAUUGCUAUGUCUGGCUGUUAUGCAGGGCCUAUGUUCAACACACUUGCCGGCUUAGGAAUAUCAAUGCUGCUUGGAGCUUGGUCGACAGCACCCAACUCUUACGUUCUUCCACAGGACCGCUCUCUUAUUUACACGAUGAGCUUCCUGGUUGCUGGGUUGGUCUGGGCGCUUGUCACGCUGCCACGGAGCGGCAUGCGGCCUAACAAGACGCUUGGGGUUGGCCUCAUUGCUCUUUACUCAGUUUUCCUUUUCAUUAGAGUAAGCAGUGCUAUGGGGAUAUUGCCACUCCCGGGCUUGAAUUAG
rnacentral:rRNA from 1 species